UCCGAGUUGACCCCGGCAGUCUCCUACGAGUCCCCGGCAUAAUCCGCUGGCAACAUAGAAUAAGGGUUGCGCUCGUUGCGGGACUUAACCCAACAUCUCACGACACGAGCUGACGACAGCCAUGCAGCACCUGUGUCCAGGUUCCCUUUCGGGCACCCCUCCAUCUCUGGAGGGUUCCUGGCAUGUCAAGGGUAGGUAAGGUUUUUCGCGUUGCAUCGAGUUAAUCCACAUAAUCCACCGCUUGUGCGGGUCCCCGUCAAUUCCUUUGAGUUUUAACCUUGCGGCCGUACUCCCCAGGCGGACGACUUAACGCGUUAGCUGCGGCACGGAUCCCGUUGGUUGAGACCCACACCUAGUGCCCAACGUUUACGGCGUGGACUAC
rnacentral:misc_RNA from 1 species